AGAACGAACGCUGGCGGCAGGCUUAACACAUGCAAGUCGAGCGCCCAGCAAUGGGAGCGGCGGACGGGUGAGUAACACGUGGGAACAUGCCCUUUGGUACGGGACAACUCAGGGAAACUUGAGCUAAUACCGUAUGAGCCGGUAACGGGAAAGAUUUAUCGCCAAAGGAAUGGCCCGCGUCCGAUUAGCUAGUUGGUGAGGUAAUGGCUCACCAAGGCACCGAUCGGUAGCUGGUUUGAGAGAACGACCAGCCACACUGGGACUGAGACACGGCCCAGACUCCUACGGGAGGCAGCAGUGGGGAAUCUUGGACAAUGGGGGCAACCCUGAUCCAGCCAUGCCGCGUGAGUGAUGAAGGCCUUCGGGUUGUAAAACUCUUUCGACGGGACGAUAAUGACGGUACCCGUAGAAGAAGCUCCGGCUAACUUCGUGCCAGCAGCCGC
rnacentral:rRNA from 1 species